CCUACGGGAGGCAGCAGUGGGGAAUAUUGCGCAAUGGGCGAAAGCCUGACGCAGCGACGCCGCGUGAGGGAUGAAGGUCUUCGGAUCGUAAACCUCUGUCAGCAGGGAAGAACGGUCACUGUGCUAAUCAGCAGUGAAUUGACGGUACCUGCACAGGAAGCACCGGCUAACUCCGUGCCAGCAGCCGCGGUAAUACGGAGGGUGCGAGCGUUAAUCGGAAUUACUGGGCGUAAAGCGCUCGUAGGCGGUAUGUCAAGUCAAGGGUGAAAUCCCCGCGCUCAACGGGGGAAGUGCCUUUGAAACUGGCAGACUGGAGUGUGUGAGAGGAUAGUGGAAUUCCAGGUGUAGGAGUGAAAUCCGUAGAUAUAUGGAGGAACAUCAGUGGCGAAGGCGACUAUCUGGCACAUAACUGACGCUGAGGAGCGAAAGCGUGGGUAGCAAACAGGAUUAGAUACCCUGGUAGUC
rnacentral:rRNA from 1 species